ACCAUUCUGCAUUUUGUACACAGUUAAUAAGAAAAAUUACACACAGUCAAAACAAUGAGGAGAGAUACCCAGGAUUACCAAAUUUCCUUCGCGACAAGAAAGAAUAACACCUUGUAAAAAAAUCAGUGACAAGGACGAGCGAACCCUUGCUGAAUGUGCAAUUGUAGAAACCAACAAACCCUAGGUUGAGCAAGACAUCUUAGAUAAUACCAAAUAGGUUCGAUCAAUGACCAGAAACAUUCAAGUGCUAGUAGAAAGGCACUACUUUUCGUCGUCAACACCGUAAAUCUCGCCGGAAAAGCUCAGAAACAUGAAGAAACAAUGGAACCUCAAAACUCUGAUGAAAAUGUGCGAGGUUAACAUUGGAUGAGAGAUAAUUACCCAAUCUAUCCAAAUCUGGGCUCUGAUACCAUGUUAAAACUUGAUUGACGCGAAAAUCCUUGAAGUUUUAAUUAUCUAAGUUUAUGGUGAGGUUAGACAGAGAGAGAGAGAGAGACAGAAGCUUCUAGGUUUUUC
rnacentral:lncRNA from 1 species